GACGAACGCUGGCGGCGUGCCUAAUACAUGCAAGUAGAACGCACAGUUUAUACCGUAGCUUGCUACACCAUAGACUGUGAGUUGCGAACGGGUGAGUAACGCGUAGGUAACCUGCCUGGUAGCGGGGGAUAACUAUUGGAAACGAUAGCUAAUACCGCAUAAUAUUGAUUAUUGCAUGAUAAUUGAUUGAAAGAUGCUAUUGCAUCACUACCAGAUGGACCUGCGUUGUAUUAGCUAGUAGGUGAGGUAACGGCUCACCUAGGCGACGAUACAUAGCCGACCGGAGAGGGUGAUCGGCCACACUGGGACUGGGACACGGCCCAGACUCCUACGGGAGGCAGCAGUAGGGAAUCUUCGGCAAUGGACGAAAGUUUGACCGAGCAACGCCGCGUGAGUGAAGAAGGUUUUCGGAUCGUAAAGCUCUGUUGUAAGAGAAGAACGGGUGUGAGAGUGGAAAGUUCACACUGUGACGGUAUCUUACCAGAAAGGGACGGCUAACUACGUG
rnacentral:rRNA from 1 species